rnacentral:rRNA from 1 species
AAUAGAUACCCCGGUAGUCCACGCCGUAAACGAUGAGUGCUAAGUGUUAGAGGGUUUCCGCCCUUUAGUGCUGAAGUUAACGCAUUAAGCACUCCGCCUGGGGAGUACGGCCGCAAGGCUGAAACUCAAAGGAAUUGACGGGGGCCCGCACAAGCGGUGGAGCAUGUGGUUUAAUUCGAAGCAACGCGAAGAACCUUACCAGGUCUUGACAUCCUCUGACAACCCUAGAGAUAGGGCUUCUCCUUCGGGAGCAGAGUGACAGGUGGUGCAUGGUUGUCGUCAGCUCGUGUCGUGAGAUGUUGGGUUAAGUCCCGCAACGAGCGCAACCCUUGAUCUUAGUUGCCAUCAUUCAGUUGGGCACUCUAAGGUGACUGCCGGUGACAAACCGGAGGAAGGUGGGGAUGACGCCAAAUCAUCAUGCCCCUUAUGACCUGGGCUACACACGUGCUACAAUGGACGGUACAAAGAGCUGCAAGACCGCGAGGUGGAGCUAAUCUCAUAAAACCGUUCUCAGUUCGGA